rnacentral:rRNA from 1 species
AGUGAACGCUGGCGGUAGGCCUAACACAUGCAAGUCGAACGGCAGCACAGUAAGAGCUUGCUCUUACGGGUGGCGAGUGGCGGACGGGUGAGGAAUACAUCGGAAUCUACUUUUUCGUGGGGGAUAACGUAGGGAAACUUACGCUAAUACCGCAUACGACCUACGGGUGAAAGCAGGGGAUCUUCGGACCUUGCGCGAUUGAAUGAGCCGAUGUCGGAUUAGCUAGUUGGCGGGGUAAAGGCCCACCAAGGCGACGAUCCGUAGCUGGUCUGAGAGGAUGACUCGCCCCCACAGAACGUGGACACCGCCCCGGCCCCCUCGGGAGGGCGCAGGGGGGGAUUUUGGAAAAGGGGCCGAAGGCUUGACCCGCCCUUCCGGGGGGGGUGAAAAAGCCUUUGGGUUGGAAAGCCCUUUUUGUGGGGAAAAAAAGACGGAAGUUAACACCCCCGCUUUUUGACGGGACCCAAAAAAGAAGCCCCGGCCUACUUUCUU